rnacentral:tRNA from 1 species
GCCGGGAUGAUGGAAUUGGUAGACGUAGCGGACUUAAAAUCCGCUUCCCCGUAAGGGGAGUGCCGGUUCAAGUCCGGCUCCCGGCA